ensembl:lncRNA
GGCUCCCCUCAGCGGGGCUGAAUGAUCAAAACUGGUGGUGAGAAUUUUUCCCGGCCGUUUCUAGGCAGCCCUCCCCCUCCACCAGCUCGGACCCCCCCCUUCCUCCUCCUCCCUUUUCCUCCCCCCUCCCCCAGCGUCUGGGCUGAGUGAUCCGAAGAGAGGAAGAUGGUUGUCGCCGCAAUCCUGGGCUUUGCAAGGCGCGGUUUAAUGGGCCGCCUGUCAGCUUCCUGCUCGCGGGAGGAGGUGACAAGCCAAGCGAGCCGGCAAGGGCCGAGGGCCCGGCGGGCUUCGCCCCGCGCCCGGGGCCCCCCGACUCCCCACCUCCCGCGAGGCGCGCUUUCUAGAACGCGCGGUGGAAGACGCCAAAACGGACAAGGGCGGCUUUUUCCCUCCUCCCCCCACCUCGCUUUAAAACAAAGCAGCGAUUCAUUCCCUCUCCCCGAACAGCGCGGUUGGGUGGGAUGGGCAGGCGAGAAGGCCGUUUUCCUAGCCCUGGUCUGCGGGUUCCUCCCUGAAACGCGGUGUCAGAUGGUUACUGAUUAAUAUUUUGGAGAGGCCGCGGCGGCGGGCAGCGGGUUCCAGAUCCGACGACCAGGGAGCUCCUGGCCCGGGUGCUGCUAAAACCCGGAGAGGCCCCGCCCGGGAAAGCCAGGCUCGCCAUCCCCUUGCCGGGACUGGCCCAGUCACGACUCGGUGCCGAGCCGAGGUUCGACCAGCCCCGCCGAAAUCAGUCUCGACCCGCCAGGAAGCCUAAGGACGCCUCGCCAGAGCCCGGAAAGCCGCGGGGGCCAGGACGCACUGUACACACAGCCGACACCCCGGAGCGUCUGGCCGUCCGGCCGGUCCCGCGGAUCCCUGCGGCGCUCGGCUCCGCCUCCAGCCCUGGCCUCUUCCCCAGGCCGGGUCGGGUCUUCCACUCGACUGUUUGGCUCUAAGGGGACGGAGACAGUCUCCGGCGCUGGGGGCCGGCUGGGGCCAUAAAUCUGGGCACGGGGGGAGGGAGGCCUCCUUCCCACUGCCUGGGCCGGUAUUCCCGGUGAGGCCGGCGUCUGGACCGCACCAGACACCCUAUCCUCCAGGUCAGGGCGUGGGGGCCCUGAGAUUAAGCACGGAGUCAAGUCAGAAAUUUCCUUGUUGGCCAGAGGGAACGAACAGCCUUGUCCAGUGGGCACCACCAGCUUCCAUCCCUGUGGCCGCGGGACCCUGAGGGGGCCUGGGCCUCCCCUGACCGCUCCCUGGGGUAGAGGUGCCCAUCCACGCGCUUACUACUUGGAAGGCGAGAGGGGCGGCGAACGGGCCUUCGCACCAGUACUCUGCGUCCGCCGACAAGCAGGCAGUGCAGCUGUUCAUCAGGACAGCCACCUCCGGACAGCCUCCUGGACUUUGGUGGGGACAGCCGCUGAAGGGGGAGGCGUUCACACACACACACACACACACACACACCACUUACACAUUCACCGUGCCUCCUGGGAUCCUCCCUGUGCCAGUGCCACGACAGCAAACUGGCACGUGGAAGAUGCCGGAGGCGGAGGGUUUGGAAACCUCGCUGCGAGAUACUCACCCAGGGAGCUUCGGCUCCUUCCUAGAAUUUCUAAAUGCACAAGUGAAGGGACCGAGACCUCCGGGCCGAGCCCAGAAGAAUUUGAGCGCUCCCCUCGGCGGCGGGAACGCAGCCUGGGAGUGGAGAGGCGGCUGAGCCGCAUUCCAGCCGCGCCUCCCCCGGCCCCAGCCCCGCGGCGCCCCAGGAAGCGCCUCCGAAAACAAAGCGCUGCGGUUUCAGCCCAAGGUUAAAGUCCACCGCGAGCGUUUCCCCCCCACCCCCAGAAUCCGAGAGCGAUAGUGUUUCUCCAAAUAAACCGCCAAUAAAUCAGCCCGGGGCCGCCUGCUAAGGAGCUCUGCUGACCUUGGGGACUGGGUCUUCUGCUAGACCCGUCGGGGGAGAGGCACCGGGAGGGGCCCCGUGUGCCAGCCGAGCCCCCUCCCACUCCACUGAGGAGCAGAAGGACUGGC